AACGAACGCUGGCGGCAGGCUUAACACAUGCAAGUCGAGCGCCCGCAAGGGGAGCGGCAGACGGGUGAGUAACGCGUGGGAAUCUACCGAGCCCUAAGGAAUAGCUCCGGGAAACUGGAAUUAAUACCUUAUACGCCCUUCGGGGGAAAGAUAUAUCGGGGUUUGAUGAGCCCGCGUUGGAUUAGCUAGUUGGUGGGGUAAAGGCCUACCAAGGCGACGAUCCAUAGCUGGUCUGAGAGGAUGAUCAGCCACAUUGGGACUGAGACACGGCCCAAACUCCUACGGGAGGCAGCAGUGGGGAAUAUUGGACAAUGGGCGCAAGCCUGAUCCAGCCAUGCCGCGUGAGUGAUGAAGGCCUUAGGGUUGUAAAGCUCUUUCACCGGAGAGGAUAAUGACGGUAUCCGGAGAAGAAGCCCCGGCUAACUUCGUGCCAGCCGCCGCCGUAACAC
rnacentral:rRNA from 1 species